UACGUAGGCAGCAAGCGUUGUCCGGAGUUACUGGGCGUAAAGAGUGCGUAGGUGGUGCCCUAAGUCUGUUGUGAAAUCUCCCGGCUUAACUGGGAGGGUGCGGUGGAAACUGGGGUGCUUGAGUGUGGGAGAGGUAAGCGGAAUUCCUGGUGUAGCGGUGAAAUGCGUAGAUAUCAGGAGGAACACCGGUGGUGUAGACGGCUUACUGGACCACGACUGACACUGAGGCACGAAAGCGUGGGUAGCAAACAGG
rnacentral:rRNA from 1 species